UCAGUUCGGAUUGAAGGCUGAAAUUCGCCUUCAUGAAGCUGGAAUUGCUAGUAAUGGCAGGUCAGCAUACUGCCGUGAAUACGUUCCCGGGCCUUGUACACACCGCCCGCCACACCAUGAGAGUUGGAAAUACCCGAAGCCUGUGAGCUAACUGUAAAGAGGCAGCAGUCGAAGGUAGAGCCAAUGAUUGGGGUGAAGUCGUAACAAGGUAUC
rnacentral:rRNA from 1 species